rnacentral:rRNA from 1 species
UACAGAGGGUGCAAGCGUUGUUCGGAAUUAUUGGGCGUAAAGCGCGUGUAGGCGGCUUUGCAAGUCGGGUGUGAAAGCCCUCGGCUCAACCGAGGAAGUGCGCCCGAAACUGCAGAGCUUGAGUACCGGAGAGGAUGGCGGAAUUCCCCAAGUAGAGGUGAAAUUCGUAGAUAUGGGGAGGAACACCGGUGGCGAAGGCGGCCAUCUGGACGGAAACUGACGCUGAGACGCGAAAGCGUGGGUAGCAAACAGG